CCGAGCCAAACAUUGCUGCCAAUAAGUUACGCACGCACUUGCGUCACGCUGUGUUGACGACCGAAUUAGUCAGGGUUUAAAAUAGACGCUCUUCUGUGGCGGAGAUAAAAUAGGUGCCAGUUCAUGUUUGUCAACAUUGGCGGAGGAGGAUGACGUCGGCAGUAUCAACGAUGAAUGCUUCGGACACUGACUGUCCGUUGUUUCCGGACAAACCUGAACAUUGUGAUGUUUUGAUUGCGAUAAGACAGACAACUGGUACUCUAUCCUUGGUUGGAUGUACCUUCAUGAUAGCUGUGAUCUGGCUCUUUAAAAAAUAUGCAGCUUUUUCUCAACGACUAAUCCUCUACCUGAGUAUUGGUGCCCUGUUGAAUUCUAUCUCCUAUCUCAUGGGAGGCCUGAGACCUGAUGGACCGUUGUGUGACUUCCAAGCUUGGUGGAUGACAUUCUUUGACUGGACAGUGCUGUUGUGGGUUUGCUGUAUAACCUUUAACCUCUACCUCAAUGUCAUCAAGAUGAUCACAAAGGAGUCGUUCGAGUGGGCAUAUCAUGUGCUAUGUUGGGGCCUUCCCCUACUCCUGUCUUGCCUGCCAUUUAUAGGGAAUCACUACGGCCCUGCAGGAGCUUGGUGCUGGAUUGAGGACAAUUGGCACUGGAGGGUAGGAAUAUGGUAUGGCCCACUUUUCCUGACGAUAUUUUGUCUGUUUGUUGUGUACAUAUACAUCACCUAUAUACUCACCAGAAAGGCUUCGUCCUGGCAAGGGACGUAUGAUCCCGAUACAGAACAUCAUAAGGAACUGAUGAAAGAGGACAUCAAACCACUACGUGCCUACCCUUGUAUAUAUCUGGCUGUGUCCAUAUUCCCGCUAAUUAACAGAAUACAGAAUGCUGUAUCACCAGAAAAUCCUGUAUUUCCACUGAUGGUACUUUCUGCCCUGUCUUCCCCUUUACAAGGUGCUGUCAAUGCUAUAGUAUUUGGACUGGACAGAGAAACAUUCAGUCGCCUUACCCCAUCUCAAAUCAAAAUGGCCUUUCUUAGCCACCACCAGGCCCCUCGGGUGAGGGAGUAUCCCGUGGCCCUGUACUCCCAGGACACACCCUCCUCUCCCCUGAAUGCUGAUUCCCCUCAGCCUAGGUUUUCUAACGUGUCCUACUCCCGACUGACGUAAUCACGCCAAACCUAAUUCCAAGGACAAGGCCAAGUCCGGGUUUCAGUAUGACAUUUAAAUUAAGGCUGCCUUCCUGAAGAGAAUCAGUCGCGGCUCGGGGAUCAAGGAGUAUCACCAACCGGAAGAAGAGACAACUCCCUACUGAGUGGGAAAUGAUCGCCAGGCCACGGAACUAUGGACAAAGGCAUACGGAGGAUAACUAUAGUUGUGGGGAAGACUUGGUAGUAGUUACCUAAACCGAACGUAUGGUACAAGUACUGGGAGUACUAGUAUUACUAGAGGUGACGGGUGAUGGGUUCAACUAUCGAGCACUAGGCCCUGUGCACUCACGGGAUAUAAAGUAUAUAGACUUAUUAGUAUGAUAAUAUGAUUAUAUAUAUUUCAGGUAUUGUUGUCUACAGGAUUUAAAUAACUUUAUUUUGUUUAAAGUUAGGUAUCGAAUUGAAUUCCUAAACUUAUUUGUUUGACAAACAUUCGAAAGACCGGUUGAUCAAUUAGAUAAGAGGAUAAUUCAAAUAAAACAUAAAGGAAUACUUAUUUUUUGAGGACCACAUUGUUGGGGUUUUGAUUUCAGGCAAAACAUUAUUAUACAAUCUAUUACUUCCUCUUCUGCUUUUAGGCUCAUUGAAUGGCUAUGGCAAUAUUGCUAUGCAAUGUCUGGUUUACAUAUGUCGAACAGAUUAUCAUGCAAUUCAAAAUUGAACUUUCUCGAGAUUCGGUUUGUUCACCAGAAAAAGCAUAAUAUUUAACUUGAAUUCUCCAAUAAUAUCUUUUUUAAUGGUCAACACUCCACUGAAAUGGUGGCAAAAUAAGUAAACUAUCCAUCUAAAAAUAUCGUAUUCGGACAUAUCGCACACCAGCUAUUAAGGUAUCUUUUCGACGAGCGGGGACAUUUCAAUUUCACAGUUGAUGGCGGGAUAAACUUUAGGCAUAUAUUGAAGAAAUCCAUCUAUAGUGUUUUUUCAUUGUUUGCUUGGGAUUUGUUUUACAAAUAUAUAUAUAUAUAUAUAUAUAUAUGUAGGUGAUAUUUAUCCCUUCCAUUUUCCCUUUCUCUCCCUUUCUCUCAUUUAGCAUUUGAUAUCAUCUGAGUGUCUAUACUCUGAAAAUGGCCCUUUUAAUGACCAUUCCCUCCGACUACAUACCAGUAACAGUUUAAACGAGGUAAAACAUUUUCAUUUCAAAAUGACCAUUACGUAUUAAUACGCUGAGGUCGUCAGGAGUAGCUAUCAUUUUAGAAGUAUACCAUGAUUAAGUAGUUUUAGGAAUUGAAGUGAAACAUUCCUAAUUGGUAUGAGUAAAACCUCUGUUUAAUUGCUUGUUAAUAAACAUAUCAUACAGACGUUCUUAUUAUUCAUUUUUGAUGAAAUUUCUUUAAGUUGACAAUAUUUGAAAUAUAACCACAUUUUUGUUUAUUCAUAAUUUGUAAAUUAAAUUAUAAAUUCAUACUUUUUAUAUCAUUAUAUUUCAGAUGUGCUAAAUUAUGAAUUUUAAUAUCAUCGCUGUUCUUACGCUUGCCUCGUCUUUAUAAUCUGACAUUCAUAAUUACGUCAUAUUUCAAACGCAUAAUCUCUAAACCAAUAUCAUGACCUUGUCUUAUGUCUUGACAAUUUGAUUAUUUUGCACGGAAGAAAUGUAUUAGUUUAUCAAAACGUUUUGAUGCUUGUGUCGUUUUGCAAGCAGAUAUCCCAUCAUUCAUUGCGUGCAUUGAUGUCACAUCCAAAAGUGAUUUCUGCUGUUGAUAUGGUAGAUGUGGUUUUUAUUGUCUCCAACACAUACAUUUUUGACAUUUUAAAACUAUUUGUUUCGUGUCACUUUUUGAUAAAUCUGUUAUUUCCAUCAAAAUUUUCUCUUUAAAAAUGUACUCUUAAAUAUCGAUUUUUUAACAGUUCACAUCUUUUUCAACUCCCAUGUUUAUACAAGCUCUUUAAACAAAUUAACUUCAAAACUAUCUUUAUCAGUGUAUUUCUCAAUGAGCAAGAUCGUGGUUAUCGCAAACUAUAUUUAUUUCAGAAGAAUGAUUUAUUUAAUGUAUAUUUACUUGACACUCACUUUAUAAUAAUCACUCUGCCAGUUGACAGCGUUAAAAUGUAUAUAACUUAUUUUCUAUGCAAUAUUUUGCGUAUUUAUGCCGUAGACACAAAUUUUUCAGAAAUGCUUCCAACAUCAAAGGCGUCACCUCGACAGUGUUUCAAAAUUUGUUUUCAUCCUUGUCAGUGAUUUAAUAGUAUAUUCUAUAUUGCUGUAUUGCAACCAAUUGUCAGUUACUCUUGUACCGGCUUCAUAUAAAAAUUUACAUGUAGGUUUUGCAAGAUGGCCAAAUACUUAACCGCUUAAUUUAAUUCCUUAAUAGUGCUAUGUUGCCGUUUUGCAUGUACUGAUACAAAUUAUAUCUACUCAAUUGUUUAUAUUAUAUAAUAUCGUUUUCGCUUAAACUGUAAGCAAGAGUAAAGUCUACAAUGUGUCUGUACCUUAUUUACUGAUUGUUUUUGAUAUUGGUUUUGAAACUUUUACAGCAUAUUAAUACAUAUCUUAUCUAUCCCUAAAUAUUCAAAACAUAUGUUGCCGUUGUGUGCUGUCUAUGAUCCACGUUAAUUUUAAUACAAUACUUAUACCCAUUGUAUAUUAUAUAUAUUCGGCUUCAUUGUGUAAGUAGUGUAUUGUUGUUAUUAUUAUUAUAUACGUUUUGUAUAUACAGUGGACCUUGUCCAAACAGGCCUUAAUAUAAUCUUGAUCUUUGUCUAAACCGGUCGAAUAAUUUGGUCCCGAAAAUUUCUUUCUUUAUUUCGUUUUACUCGCCUAUUCCAGACUCUGUCUAUUCCGUAAUCCGGCCCUAUUCCAAAGUCUGUCUAUUCCGUAAUCCGGCCCUAUUCCAAAGUCUGUCUAUUCCGUAAUCCGGCCCUAUUUCAAGGUCCCGCUUCUUUUUCAUACAAGUAAAUAUACUCUGUGUAAAUUGGCGUCAGCUUCAUUCGGGUCCGCUGUGAAGCGUUAGCUUUUUUGGCUCUUGGCGGGUGUUGAAACAGUGCUAAUAACUCUACAGGAAAAAAUAUCAAUUGGUCAUGUAAGUAAGACACGGUCCGACAACACCUGAACUCAUUUCAUGCAUAAUAUAUGAUGCUUUUUUUUGUGAAAUUAAACGUUUUACGAAAUUGUGUCAGUUACAAUUACAACUGCGAGCGAGAUUAAUUUUCUUCUCGAGGGCCCCACGAUGGCAGAAUAACUGGAAGAGGAAAUAAGUAGAGGAUGAUCAGCUCAAAAUCGAUAGUAAUACACACUUGACAAUGUUCUACCAGUUUAUUCUGGUAUGGAGAAUGGAUCGGUCAGAUUUCGAAUUGGAAAAUAAAAUGAACUGGACUACUGAGGCAUAAGCUCGACGUUCCUGAACUCAUCAAUAAUCGGUUGAAUUGAAAAGGGCUAACAGAGGAUUUGAACAUUAAUGUGAAGGCGAGUUUUACUUCAAAAAUAGUCAAAAACACUUUCUUUGAAAUGUCUUACAUUAAAGGUGUAGUCUAAAAUUACAAUGCAAUGACGUGAUAGCGAAGGAAUUACAUAACUGCGUGAAAUUUAGCAUUUUACAAAUUUUGCAUCAGGAAAUGAUUAUAUUGUUUAUGUAAUGAUACAAAACUAGACUCUGCAAUAUAUAGUCUGCGAAUCCGGUUUAGACUAAACAUAUUAUCAAUAAGUGAAUUUCUUGUCGUAGUUGUACUGUGGGGAAUAUUUAUGAUACGUGUAUAAUUCGCAUCCAUGUAUAUAUAUACAAAGCAAUCCAGGUUUUCCUAUCAUCUAAUUGACGACUUGUCACUAUGAUCAUGUCAGGGUAUCGGGCCGACCAUCACUGCGCAACGUUCUUUUUCAGAACGCCGAUCGCGAUGUGGCACAGUGGUAUAAGAUGCGGGUAUUAAUAAUGAUACGAUAUAUUUUCCACCAAAUAGUUACAUUCGCGGGUACUUUAUCGCUAGUCUUCUGUAAAUAGGUAAACAAUAUAAACCAAAACAAAAUAAACAGAAUAAAAUUACAAUUGAAACAUACUGUGAUAAGCCUUUCGUAGUAGUAAUGCGGGAAAGUUGCAAUAUAGUCUCGUUGUUUCGAUAAAAUAAACAGCCUUGCUCCAAUUCUGACCUUUUCCGUAUAAAUGAUCUAUUCUCCAAAGUUUUUGGUAAAUUAUCGGUCAAUGAUUAACAGGUUUUUGAGGAAACUCAAUCAAGUAGUUUUUUAGUUUUUUAAUUUGAGUGAAGUUAAUACGUUUUUAUAGUAUUUUUUGUUUCCCAGUUUAGAUUGUGGAAUGUUGACAACGAUUUCGGUAUAGCAUCUGAAAACACGCGCAGUGUAUUCUUAGUUACACUUUCCUUAUUUCCAUUACACGUGAAUUGUCCCAUGAUCGAUGAAAACUUCACAGUUAAGUGGUGUAUGUAGAUGUUCGUUAAUUAAAUAAUUUCCGACUUCCAUAUUUUUGUCGAAAGGACAAACUAUGUCCUGGAUGUUAAUAGCAUGUCUAGCAUGUCUUUGGUGUAGUUUUAUGCGAGUUAUACUGUCAUAAAUGUAUCAAUCAAGCACAAUUGGUUUAUAUGUAAAUACGAUAACCUUUCGAUUCUUAUAGAUUUGUUAAACAAACGUAUUCAUCCUCAUUGUUCACGAACAGAUUUGCUGUUCGUAAUGCAUUUAUAUGUACUUUCUUAAUUUCAUAGUUAAACGUACAUGUAGUUUGUGAGAUUACGCCUAGGGUCUUACCUAACUUGAAUGGGUUACCUUUGGUGUUUUAUUCUGAAUCCCUAUAUCCCAUUCACGAAAAUAGAAAAUACAUUUGAACCCCGUUUUUGUAUUAUUUUAAACAUCAAUGGAAUGUUCAUUCCUUGGGCAACAUGGUAUGAGAACAUCACACGUAGGGAAGUAUUUAUUAGUCAGCAUGUGCAUUUUGUGUUCAUUGUUGGUUUUUGUUAUAAAAUAUGAUAAGUAUAUCUACUCUACUCUCUUUGAAAUUUUACGUUAUUUCUAACUUGCGGUGCUAAUGCUCCUGGGGUUAAUUUCGCUGCGUUAACGAGUGAUAGUAAUCACGUGUUGGGGAACUGUAUGAACGUCAUAAAUGCUCUACAUUUAAAACCACUAUGAUCUGAGACAAUGAUGGACGUAAAACACCAUAUGUAUGCAAUGGAGGUUAUUAUUUAUAGAUUGUACCCGGGAGACUUUCAGACUGGCUCGGUGAAGAGACACUGUGUAGCCAUGUCAGUAGGACGUGGUUAGUGUUUACUAGUAUAACGUAUUCAAAGCUGUUCUCAUCAAGUUAUGAAGUGUUUUCUAUCUUUGUUGUUGAACACGUUUUUGUUAUCAUUAAUAUAUAAUGUAUUGAAAUAUGUAACUGAUAUAAAAUGUUGAACAAAUCAGUACUAUUUAUCCUAUUUAUAGAUACUCAUGAAAAUGAUUAGUGUUUUCUUCAUUAUGCCACCAAAUGUUAUAAUUAUUGCAUACUCGUUAUUUACAAAUUUACAAAUAACGCCUCACAUAUACUACCACAAAUGUUACUAUGGAUACUUGCCAAGUAGUAAAUGAUGUUUGGAAAUAUGAUAAUUAUAAUGGAUGUUUAUCGGUGUGUCAGCGUAUAAUUCUGUAACAUUGUAAAUAUCAAUACAUUGACGAUAUUCUGUUACAGAAUAAAGAUGCUUACUUCAUUUUCCGAGAUUUGAUAACACCUUGCAGGUUAUAUUUUUUUUCUACAUGAAGUGUGCAUCUAACAGAUCACUAUGCUAUUUGACUAUGGUGCUUAUGAUAGUGUUUGACAAAAAGUUGGCAUUAUAAAAUGUUCGUGUGGAGGGAAGUCAGAUUUAUAUCACUCUUCAUGAGUUAAUCAAGGGUUUCUACUGUACCGUGAUAUUGGAUCACAUCAAAUGUUUUGUAAAUUCCCACUUUGUCAUAUUCAGUUAAAAUAAUUUUGCUAUUAAAACGAGUGUCAUAUUCAAUAAAAAUAAUUUUUGUAUGAAAACGA